rnacentral:rRNA from 1 species
CAGCCGCCGCGGGAAUACAGAGGGUGCAAGCGUUAAUCGGAAUUACUGGGCGUAAAGCGCGCGUAGGUGGUUUGUUAAGUUGGAUGUGAAAUCCCCGGGCUCAACCUGGGAACUGCAUCCAAAACUGGCAAGCUAGAGUAUGGUAGAGGGUGGUGGAAUUUCCUGUGUAGCGGUGAAAUGCGUAGAUAUAGGAAGGAACACCAGUGGCGAAGGCGACCACCUGGACUGAUACUGACACUGAGGUGCGAAAGCGUGGGGAGCAAACAGGAUUAGAGACCCCUGUAGUCCCUGUCUCUUAUAC